GACGAACGCUGGCGGCGUGCUUAACACAUGCAAGUCGAACGGAAAGGCCCUUUUGGUGGUACUCGAGUGGCGAACGGGUGAGUAACACGUGAGUAACCUGCCCUUGAUUUCCGGUUAACUUCCGGAAACUGGGUCUAAUUCCGGAUAGGAAUCCUUGCUGCCUGGAGGGGGUUGGUAAGCUUCGGCGGUUUUGGAUGGACUCGCGGCUUAUCGGUUUGUUUGUGGGGUAGUUGCUUACCAAGGCUUUGACUGGUAGGCGGCCUGAGGGGGCGACCGGCCACAUUAGGGCUGAGAGACGGGCCAGACUUCUUCGGGGGGCAGCAGUGGGGGAUAUUGCACAAUUGGCGGAAGCCUGAUGCGGCAACGCCGCGGGCGGGAUGACGGCCUUCGGGUUGUAAACCGGUUUCAGCAGGGGCGAAGCUUGUGGUGACGGUACCUGCAAAAGAAGCACCGGCUAACUACGUG
rnacentral:rRNA from 1 species